UACGUAGGGUGCGAGCGUUGUCCGGAAUUACUGGGCGUAAAGAGCUCGUAGGUGGUUUGUCGCGUUGUCCGUGAAAACUCACAACUCAAUUGUGGGCGUGCGGGCGAUACGGGCAGACUUGAGUACUGCAGGGGAGACUGGAAUCCCUGGUGUAGCGGUGGAAUGCGCAGAUAUCAGGAGGAACACCGGUGGCGAAGGCGGGUCUCUGGGCAGUAACUGACGCUGAGGAGCGAAAGCGUGGGGAGCGAACAGG
rnacentral:rRNA from 1 species